AGAGUUUGAUCAUGGCUCAGAUUGAACGCUGGCGGCAGGCCUAACACAUGCAAGUCGAGCGGUAGAGGGAAGCUUGCUUCUCUUGAGAGCGGCGGACGGGUGAGUAAUGCCUAGGAAUCUGCCUGGUAGUGGGGGAUAACGUUCGGAAACGAACGCUAAUACCGCAUACGUCCUACGGGAGAAAGCAGGGGACCUUCGGGCCUUGCGCUAUCAGAUGAGCCUAGGUCGGAUUAGCUAGUUGGUGAGGUAAUGGCUCACCAAGGCGACGAUCCGUAACUGGUCUGAGAGGAUGAUCAGUCACACUGGAACUGAGACACGGUCCAGACUCCUACGGGAGGCAGCAGUGGGGAAUAUUGGACAAUGGGCGAAAGCCUGAUCCAGCCAUGCCGCGUGUGUGAAGAAG
rnacentral:rRNA from 1 species